UGGACAGAUUAUUGACUGUAUUCGAUUGUAUUCACGGCGUAAAACAGGGGAUUACACUCUUUUUAAACGGAAAGUGAAUCAAUUAACAUAACAGACUGUU
rnacentral:pre_miRNA from 1 species